rnacentral:rRNA from 1 species
GACGAACGCUGGCGGCGUGCUUAACACAUGCCAGUCGAACGGAAAGGCCCUGCUUUUGUGGGGUGCUCGAGUGGCGAACGGGUGAGUAACACGUGAGUAACCUGCCCUUGACUUUGGGAUAACUUCAGGAAACUGGGGCUAAUACCGGAUAGGAGCUCCUGCUGCAUGGUGGGGGUUGGAAAGUUUCGGCGGUUGGGGAUGGACUCGCGGCUUAUCAGCUUGUUGGUGGGGUAGUGGCUUACCAAGGCUUUGACGGGUAGCCGGCCUGAGAGGGUGACCGGCCACAUUGGGACUGAGAUACGGCCCAGACUCCUACGGGAGGCAGCAGUGGGGAAUAUUGCACAAUGGGCGGAAGCCUGAUGCAGCAACGCCGCGUGCGGGAUGACGGCCUUCGGGUUGUAAACCGCUUUCGCCUGUGACGAAGCGUGAGUGACGGUAAUGGGUAAAGAAGCACCGGCUUACUACGUG